rnacentral:ncRNA from 2 species
AACCAUAGCUAGGGGUGUCUGGGGAACCAGGCUGAGAUAGUCCCUUAGAACCUGAGACUGGGUAAUACCAGCGGAGGGAAGCUGUUUAUGAGAACU